UAACAUUGUUGAUAUCACAUACAAUAUUUUAAGUAAUUUUGAUUUGAAAAACUUCUAACCAAAUACCAUUAAACUCUAUCUAACGGCGAAUAUGCGAGGCCACCAUCUCCAGCAAAUCAAGAGCAAAAAUAACCAAGGAGAGCAACACCGAACAACAAUGGACAAAAAAAUGACCAACCUGAUCUUGAUGGACCCACCAACCUCUAUUAGGCCAUACACAGGACAAAUUCAGCAUUUCUCUCAUAGAAAGUACAGGAAUAUCCUGAAGUCCUUUGUAUAAAUCAUUUCCAUGAAUAUAAUUUGAUCUUAUUCACCAAUUGCUCAACAAUCGUUGUCUUAUCAGAGAAGAUAUAUUAUAUAUGGNNNNNNNNNNCCGAGCUAAAGUCAAAGUAGCUCCCUCACACAUGUCACCAAAUAUAACAAACAACCCACCUAGAUCACACGACAAUACUAACUCCCACCCUACCCACCUAAAGCCCUAUAUUAGACCUGAAGGACAAAGUAACAAAUAACAAACAAAUGAUUAGCGACUCCAUAGACUCACCACAUAACACAAAAGAAAUAGCGUUAGAAUCUCUGCCAAACCUUUACUAAGUGUUGAACAUCCUCCUCCAGACGAUCUCUACCAACCUAAAGAUCUUCCCAUAACACCAUAUCGGCCAAACUAACAGUGUACACUCUUUUUCUUUUUGUAUCAUGUUUCUAAACCCAUUUAUCCUCUGCCCUAGAUAUAGAGAUUCCAUUAAGGAAUGUGACCUUAUACGAAAUCCAAUCUAGACAAACAUACCUCUCCUCCAUUUAAGCUCCCAAAUCCAUUCAUUCUCAACCCAAUGACCCAUAUUACCAAACCCUCGAGUCAAAUUGGCCUAUGAAAUCUCGAAGAGAACAAACUCCAUCCACGAAUUAUCUCAUAAAUAAGUCAUUACAAGAAAACAAGUUUUUG
rnacentral:lncRNA from 1 species